UAAGCGCCGAGCGAGUUCAAGCUCAACAACCCCAGGGAACUCAAGAUUGAGCAGAGAAAAACGUAUUGAUCCCAGAUUCGGGACUCAGUUUCUCCGUCCAUCCGCCGUCGUCCUGGAGACCAGGCAGCAACCAAUGCAAAAAAGACAACGGCCUUAAAGUGUGGCGAUAGGUGAGUGAUGGACUUUCCGGACUCGAAUAGAAUGGAAACCGUGGAUACACCGAGAACCACACGUGGAAUGAAUGGCGCACGAAGUCCUUCAGUUAGCUGGUGGGAAUUCACAAGCAAAAGCCGGAACCAAAUAUGUGAAAAAAUAGUUACUGGACAACAUGAAGAACUGAUUAAGAGGGGACCGUGCGGGAGUUUUCGAAUCACGUGGAGAGGGGGAAAGAAAGUCAAUUGUGCAUGUGGACAAACAGAUGACAGUCCUUGUCCGCCGCUGCCGCCGCCGCCCCAUGAACUGAAGAGAGAGUCGCUCGUGUUGUGGGUUUUCCCAUUCAGAUCCCGAAAACCGGAAGGAAACUCAACGAACGGCUCUCAACUCUCGAGUCUCAUCCUCCAAAAAAACUUGUUUCUCCCAAAGUGUAAACAAAUCGGUAGGGUCGAGAGAGUGGUACCCUGGGCUAUACAACGAAACAUCUCUACGAUGAGUUUUCCUCAUCUAAUACUCUCUCAGCUUCCCCUCUCCGUUUCCCUGUGCAGUCUUUUCAAUGUAAUUGUCCGGAAGUGGGCACGAACCUGUAUGAAUGUACAAGUUCGGUUGGAUUCCCCCCACCAGCCCGUGUUCUAUGCCAACAAGGAGAUGACGAUAGGAGUCAUAUCCGAUGUAUGGUGGUAGGCUGGUUGGCUCAGUUGCUCAGUGGUUUUCGGAUCUUUCCCGAUGGUUGAGCACGCGUCGUUCACUUGAAGAGAAUGGACUUCAAAUCACUCAGGAUUGGAUAGAAUGCGAUUCCUCCGUUGUUCUAAGGCUCUCAAAAAGGAUCAAGCCCCUAUUGUCUUUGAAUAAAUUGAUUGUUCUAGAAGAGCAGAUGGUGGGCGUCGAACAAUAAAUAUGAAGACGAACGACAAUCUAUUUGAAUAUAGCUCGUAUUAGACUAAUCCUGGGCUCAUUGUUCGCGCGAAAUGAGCUUUGCUAAGACACCAACCCAGGCGGGAAAGCCAGAGAUCGUAUCGGGUGGCUCAGUUGAUUCCUUCAAAUCCCACCAUGAUUCAUGGAAAUCUCAGGAAAUUAGUGGAUAGUCCCUCCUCCUUCUGCUCCUUGUUCUCGGGAUUCUCAUCAUUUGGCCAUGAUCCAUCAUGCUAAAUAAAUACCUACGGUAGGAGGUGUCAUUGGGGAACAAAGACAUACCUGAGUUGAACAAAUUUGGAGCAGAUCUCAUUCAAAGGACCACUUUGGAUAUUGGCCUGAUUGAACAACACCAAACCAACCAUUUCCCCAUUUCCCUCUCCCCAAUCCAACGACAUUCCUUUCGACAAAAGUGAAGAAUGGCCAACUCGGCAUGUCGCCUGACGACUCGCCGGGUCCUUUUAUAGGUACUUGCUCA